rnacentral:rRNA from 1 species
UGGUGCUUGCACCAGAUGACGACCGGCGCACGGGUGCGUAACGCGUAUGCAACCUACCUUUUACUGAGGGAUAGCCUUUAGAAAUGAAGAUUAAUACCUCAUAAUAAUGUAUACUCUCCUGAGUUUACAUUUAAAGUUUCGGCGGUAAAAGAUGGGCAUGCGUUUUAUUAGUUAGUUGGUAAGGUAACGGCUUACCAAGACUACGAUAAAUAGGGGUCCUGAGAGGGAGAUCCCCCACACUGGUACUGAGACACGGACCAGACUCCUACGGGAGGCAGCAGUGAGGAAUAUUGGACAAUGGAGGCAACUCUGAUCCAGCCAUGCCGCGUGCAGGAAGACGGUCCUAUGGAUUGUAAACUGCUUUUAUACAGGAAGAAACCUAUCUACGUGUAGAUAGCUGACGGUACUGUAAGAAUAAGGACCGGCUAACUCCGUGCCAGCAGCCGCGGUAAUACGGAGGGUCCAAGCGUUAUCCGGAAUCAUUGGGUUUAAAGGGUCCGUAGGCGGAUUAUUAAGUCAGAGGUGAAAUCCCACAGCUCAACUGUGGAACUGCCUUUGAUACUGGUAGUCUUGAGUUAUAUGGAAGUAGAUAGAAUGUGUAGUGUAGCGGUGAAAUGCUUAGAGAUUACACGGAAUACCGAUUGC